AUGACCUCGUUGCUCAUCUUGAUGCUUGGGGUUCUCCUGUCUCUGAGAGGAACUGGAGCCCAGUUUGUGACUCAGCCUGAUGUCCACGUCACUGUCUCUGAAGAGGCCCCUCUGGAGCUGAGGUGCAACUACUCAUCUUCUGUUCCACCAUAUCUCUUUUGGUAUAUUCAACACCCAGACCAAGGCCUCCAGCUUCUCCUGAAGUACACAAUAGGAAACAGUUUUGUUUCGGGCAUUAAAGGUUUCGAGGCUGAAUUUAGGAAGACUGAAAACUCCUUUCACUUGAAGAAGCCAUCAGCCCAUUGGAGUGACUCGGCUGAGUACUUCUGUGCUCUGAGUGACACAGUGCUUGGGGCUGCAGGCAAGCCAAACACAAACUACCUGAGUCAUUGUAGCUUAAAAGACUCAGCAUCUCAGCAUGUUCUGUGA